rnacentral:tRNA from 1 species
GGAAUUUAGCUCAGUGGUAGAGCGCUUGCCUAGCAAGCUUGAGGCCCUGGGUUCGGUCCCCAGCUCCG